rnacentral:rRNA from 1 species
AAUUUUCGGCAAUGGGGGCAACCCUGACCGAGCGACGCCGCGUGAGUGAAGAAGGUCUUCGGUUUGUAAAGCUUUUUUGUAAGGGAAGAACCGCACCAGUAGGGAAUGACUGGUACCUGACGGUACCUUCCCAGCAAGCCACGGCUAACUACGUGCCAGCAGCAGCGGUAAUACGUAGGUGGCAAGCUUUAUCCGGAAUUAUUGGGCGUAAAGGGAGCGCAGGCGGCUUAUUCAGUCUGAGGUUAAAGUUCGGGGCUCAACCCCGUGAUGCCUUAGAAGCUGCUAGGCUAGAGUGCAGGAGAGGUGAGUGGAAUUCCAUGUGUAGCGGUAAAAUGCGUAGAUAUAUGGAGGAACACCAGUGGCGAAGGCGGCUCACUGGCCUGUAACUGACGCUGAGGCUCGAAAGCGUGGGGAGCAAAUA